UUAUUUGAGAGUUUGAUCCUGGCUCAGGACGAACGCUGGCGGCGUGCCUAAUACAUGCAAGUUGAGCGCUGAAAGUUGGUACUUGUACCGACUGGAUGAGCAGCGAACGGGUGAGUAACGCGUGGGGAAUCUGCCUUUGAGCGGGGGACAACAUUUGGAAACGAAUGCUAAUACCGCAUAAAAACUUUAAACACAAGUUUUAAGUUUGAAAGAUGCAAUUGCAUCACUCAAAGAUGAUCCCGCGUUGUAUUAGCUAGUU
rnacentral:rRNA from 1 species